ACACAUGCAAGUCGAACGAGCGAGAGAAAGCUUGCUUUCUUGAGCGAGUGGCGAACGGGUGAGUAACGCGUGAGGAACCUGCCUCAAAGAGGGGGACAACAGUUGGAAACGACUGCUAAUACCGCAUAAGCCCACGGGUCGGCAUCGACCAGAGGGAAAAGGAGCAAUCCGCUUUGAGAUGGCCUCGCGUCCGAUUAGCUAGUUGGUGAGGUAACGGCCCACCAAGGCAACGAUCGGUAGCCGGACUGAGAGGUUGAACGGCCACAUUGGGACUGAGACACGGCCCAGACUCCUACGGGAGGCAGCAGUGGGGAAUAUUGCACAAUGGGGGAAACCCUGAUGCAGCGACGCCGCGUGGAGGAAGAAGGUCUUCGGAUUGUAAACUCCUGUUGUUGAGGAAGAUAAUGACGGUACUCAACAAGGAAGUGACGGCUAACUACGUGCCAGCAGCCGCGGUAAAACGUAGGUCACAAGCGUUGUCCGGAAUUACUGGGUGUAAAGGGAGCGCAGGCGGGAAGACAAGUUGGAAGUGAAAUCCAUGGGCUCAACCCAUGAACUGCUUUCAAAACUGUUUUUCUUGAGUAGUGCAGAGGUAGGCGGAAUUCCCGGUGUAGCGGUGGAAUGCGUAGAUAUCGGGAGGAACACCAGUGGCGAAAGCGGCCUACUGGGCACCAACUGACGCUGAGGCUCGAAAGUGUGGGUAGCAAACAGGAUUAGAUACCCUGGUAGUCCACACCGUAAACGAUGAUUACUAGGUGUUGGAGGAUUGACCCCUUCAGUGCC
rnacentral:rRNA from 1 species